rnacentral:rRNA from 1 species
GAUGAACGCUGGCGGCGUGCCUAAUACAUGCAAGUCGAGCGAUCGGACGAGAAGCUUGCUUCUCUGAUGUUAGCGGCGGACGGGUGAGUAACACGUGGAUAACCUACCUAUAAGACUGGGAUAACUUCGGGAAACCGGAGCUAAUACCGGAUAAUAUUUUGAACCGCAUGGUUCAAAAGUGAAAGACGGUCUUGCUGUCACUUAUAGAUGGAUCCGCGCUGCAUUAGCUAGUUGGUAAGGUAACGGCUUACCAAGGCAACGAUGCAUAGCCGACCUGAGAGGGUGAUCGGCCACACUGGAACUGAGACACGGUCCAGACUCCUACGGGAGGCAGCAGUAGGGAAUCUUCCGCAGUGGGCGAAAGCCUGACGGAGCAACGCCGCGUGAGUGAUGAAGGUCUUCGGAUCGUAAAACUCUGUUAUUAGGGAAGAACAUAUGUGUAAGUAACUGUGCACAUCUUGACGGUACCUAAUCAGAAAGCCACGGCUAACUACGU